GGAGAAGCAAGUGGCUAGGAAUGAAUCGAAGAAAAGGGGCAAAAGGAGAAUUUCACAAUGCAAAUGGGGGCGCACAAGUCCCAUCAAGUGGUACCCAAGUGCCACCCAAAAAAAGAAGAGACAACAAAUUACCCGAGAGAUGGCGCCACUAGAAGCAAAAGGAAGUAGCAAAUGUAGUUGGUGGCACCAAGGCGCCACACGAGAGGAAAGACACCAUAGGUCAACCAAAAGGUGGCACCUUGCAUAACUUCGUGGCACCAUGGUGCCACUAGGGUGCCGCCUAAUGUGUUCGAAGACGAGAAUUUUUGGCCUGUUAAAAGCCCGGAAAGACUCCACAUCCAAGAGAAAAAGUUAGAAGAAGAAUAACUACAUAGUAAUAGACUUUUUUGAAGGGUCCCACACAUAAAGAAACAAAAUCUACGACUUAAGAAUUAGGAGAGCAACUCAAACGAGAAAAAUAACAAGAAAUCAAGAAUCUGAAGAUUAAUUGGGCAAGAAGAUCAUCUUAGUACAAGAUUCAUCCGCAUAUCUUCAUCUUUAUUCAAAAUUCGGUGAUGUACUCAAUGAAUAUAUAUUGAUUAUCUUUCUAC
rnacentral:lncRNA from 1 species